GAAAUGCGAUAAGUAAUGUGAAUUGCAGAAUUCAGUGAAUCAUCGAAUCUUUGAACGCACAUUGCGCCCGCCAGUAUUCUGGCGGGCAUGCCUGUCCGAGCGUCAUUUCAACCAUCAAGCCCCCGGGCUUGUGUUGGGGACCUGCGGCUACCCGCAGGCCCUGAAAACCAGUGGCGGGCUCGCUGUCACACCGAGCGUAGUAGCAAUCACCUCGCUCAGGGCGUGCUGCGGGUUCCGGCCGUUAAACAGCCUUACAAAACCCAAGGUUGACCUCGGAUCAGGUAGGAAGACCCGCUGAACUUAAGC
rnacentral:misc_RNA from 1 species